AUGUUUGUAACAAACAUUACAAAUCAAAUUGAAAUAAAACUGAAGUUAUACAAACACAAAAAGUAUAUAAUAACUUUAAUAUCAGACAAUUUAGGGUAAUUCCUCAAUGACUAAAUAUACAAAAAUCCAAAGUACUUGCUUGGUUGAUUUGUAUUAACGUCAUUUGAUGAUACUCUUAACUCCACGGGUAAAGUAGACUCGCUCUUCACAUCACUAUGCUGAUUGAUUUGUAUUAACGUUACUUGAUGAUACUCUUAACUCCACGGGUAAAGUAGACUCGCUCUUCACAUCACUAUGCUGAUUGAUUUGUAUUAACGUUACUUGAUGAUACUCUUAACUCCACGGGUAAAGUAGACUCGCUCUUCACAUCACUAUGCUGAUUGAUUUGUAUUAACGUUACUUGAUGAUACUC
rnacentral:lncRNA from 1 species